GGUAGGUGGUUUAAAUUAAUGUAAUUGGGGUAAUGAGAUAUUAAAAUUUAGAAUGAUAAUUUACUGAUGAAAAUAUAAUAUUUAUCCCUAUAUUUAACCCUGUAGAAGCUAGGAUAUUAUUAUAAAUAUGUUAGUCACCGCGGGGAAAACUUUGCUCAUUUUGAAUUCCUCGAUAACUCAUAUCGGUUUGCAGGUUGAUGAAUUUUAAGUAUCUGGUUAGCUCGCAUUAGUAACUUUGAUUUUAGCUAACUACGUCAAUUUAAAGUGGGCCUUACCCUGUACUCAAGCCCAAAACCAACAGUAUGCAAAAUAAGUUAAUAAACUUUAG
rnacentral:misc_RNA from 1 species